UACGUAGGGUGCGAGCGUUGUCCGGAAUUAUUGGGCGUAAAGAGCUUGUAGGCGGUCUGUCGCGUCGGCUGUGAAAUCCCGAGGCUCAACCUCGGGUCUGCAGUCGAUACGGGCGGACUGGAGUACUGCAGGGGAGACUGGAAUUCCUGGUGUAGCGGUGAAAUGCGCAGAUAUCAGGAGGAACACCGGUGGCGAAGGCGGGUCUCUGGGCAGUUACUGACGCUGAGGAGCGAAAGCGUGGGGAGCGAACAGG
rnacentral:rRNA from 1 species